ensembl:lncRNA
UCUAUAGAUAAGAAUAUUAGUCUUAGUUACUGAUUUGUUACUGAUUACUGUUUCUUGUUUACCGAAAGGUUAAUGAUCACUUUGUUCUUUGCCCUGAAGGCCACAUGAGUUAUUGCUUAAGCCCCUGCACAUCCCUUCCUUCGCGGCUGAGAGUAUAGCAAAGCCGGCACGGAUUCAGUUUCGGCACCUUCACCUGGGAGCGGUGUUGGUCCCCUGAUCCUCGCCUUUCACUGAACUCUUGUGUCUUGUCUCCGCCGCUGUAUCCCGCUUUCGCUUUCGGAAACCCUGUUUGUCGAGCUGGACUGAACAGGGAACUGAAAGUGAAACCAGCCUCGAGGCUACGCUCCUGGCGGCGGAGAACUCAGGGAAAUCCGGCCAGCUCAGACGAGGAACGAACCUUGAAGAAGUUGAACAUCGGUGGAUCCCAAAAUGAAAAAUCCGGCCCUGGAAAGAAGAGGACCUACUUUGAUAUAGACCCACUGUUUGACCCCCCGGCUUGGAGCCAUGUCACUGCUGAUCCUUAAUCCUGGACUAUCUCUAUCAAAAAUAACCCAAGAAGCACCUUUGCCAACUUGGGGACAGAUAGAGAAACUAUCUCUAGAGGCAGAGAAGAUGGUACAUAGAAGAAGACUGCCAGAAACACCAGACAACCUGUUCUUGGCUAUGGUCACUUUGCUGACCAUGGCGACUGGAGAAGAACAAUCAAGAGACAACUAAGCCAACAACAGCAACUAGCAUUUCUCACCAUUUCUCAUCAUGUGGAAAAUCAAAAAGGGGGAGAUGUAGGAGACAGGAAGAAUAGAAGAAAAGCAGACCCCGGUGAGGGCCACAGAAGGAAUUUAUAAUUAUUGAUAAACUGGAUGCUUUAAGGCAUGGGACUCUUGGAAUAAGUCCAGAGGGAACAGUUCAUAAUCUUGAAAACAAGAUAUGAUCCUGGGGACGGGAAACCAACCCCAGACUGUUUCCCAACUGGCCUCUCAGAGUCAUAUGUUUUUCGUAUCUGGAGGAAAUCUAUAGAUAAGAAUAUUAGUCUUAGUUACUGAUUUGUUACUGAUUACUGUUUCUUGUUUACCGAAAGGUUAAUGAUCACUUUGUUCUUUGCCCUGAAGGCCACAUGAGUUAUUGCUUAAGCCCCUGCACAUCCCUUCCUUCGCGGCUGAGAGUAUAGCAAAGCCGGCACGGAUUCAGUUUCGGCACCUUCACCUGGGAGCGGUGUUGGUCCCCUGAUCCUCGCCUUUCACUGAACUCUUGUGUCUUGUUUCUCAUUCUCCCGCCCGCAUCACACUUUCGGAAACCCUGCUUGUGGAGCCGGACUCAACAGACUAUAAAGAAAGCUGAGCGCUGAAGAAUUGAUUCUUUUGAACUGUGAUAUUGGAGUAGACUCUUGAGAAUCCCUCGGACUGCAAGGAGAUCCAACCAGUCCAUCCUAAAAGAAAUCAGUCUUGAAUGUUCAUUGGAAGGACUGAUGCUGAAGCUUAAACUCCAAUACUUUGGCCAUCUGAUGCAAAGAACUGACUCGUUGGAAAAGACCCUGAUGCUGGGAAAGAUUCAAGGCGGGAGGAGAAGGGGAGGACAGAGGAUGAGAUAGUUGGAUGGCAUCAUCGACUCAAUGGGCAGGAGUUUCAGUAAACUCCAGGAGUUGGUGAUGGACAGGGAGGCCUGGCUUGCUGCAGUCCAUGGGGUCGCAAAGAGUAGGACACGACUGAGCGACUGAACU